UUUACUGCAAGUCGAGCGGACAGAAGGGAGCUUGCUCCCGGAUGUAGCGGCGGACGGGUGAGUAACACGUGGGUAACCGCCUGUAAGACUGGGAUAACUCCGGGAAACCGGAGCUAAUACCGGAUAGUUCCCUGAACCGCAUGGUUCAAGGAUGAAAGACGGUUUCGGCUGUCACUUACAGAUGGACCGCGGCGCAUAGCUAGUUGGUGGGGUAAUGGCUCACCAAGGCGACGAUGCGUAGCCGACCUGAGAGGGUGAUCGGCCACACUGGGACUGAGACACGGCCCAGACUCCUACGGGAGGCAGCAGUAGGGAAUCUUCCGCAAUGGACGAAAGUCUGACGGAGCAACGCCGCGUGAGUGAUGAAGGUUUUCGGAUCGUAAAGCUCUGUUGUUAGGGAAGAACAAGUGCGAGAGUAACUGCUCGCACCUUGACGGUACCUAACCAGAAAGCCACGGCUAACUACGUGCCAGCAGCCGCGGUAAUACGUAGGUGGCAAGCGUUGUCCGGAAUUAUUGGGCGUAAAGGGCUCGCAGGCGGUUUCUUAAGUCUGAUGUGAAAGCCCCCGGCUCAACCGGGGAGGGUCAUUGGAAACUGGGAAACUUGAGUGCAGAAGAGGAGAGUGGAAUUCCACGUGUAGCGGUGAAAUGCGUAGAGAUGUGGAGGAACACCAGUGGCGAAGGCGACUCUCUGGUCUGUAACUGACGCUGAGGAGCGAAAGCGUGGGGAGCGAACAGGAUUAGAUACCCUGGUAGUCCACGCCGUAAACGAUGAGUGCUAAGUGUUAGGGGGUUUCCGCCCCUUAGUGCUGCAGCUAACGCAUUAAGCACUCCGCCUGGGGAGUACGGUCGCAAGACUGAAACUCAAAGGAAUUGACGGGGGCCCGCACAAGCGGUGGAGCAUGUGGUUUAAUUCGAAGCAACGCGAAGAACCUUACCAGGUCUUGACAUCCUCUGACAACCCUAGAGAUAGGGCUUUCCCUUCGGGGACAGAGUGACAGG
rnacentral:rRNA from 1 species